UCUCUCCUCCAUCUCUUAUCACCACAGAUCUCUCCCUUCCACAGUCUUGUCCUCCACCUGCUGCCUCUUCCAUCUCCCAGUCCGUGAGGCAGGAGGGGCCAUAUGUGAAGAAGAGAAGAAAGGGUUGCCGAAAAUGUAGUAGGCAGAAGAUCUUCCUAUUUGAUAAAAUAACUGGGGAAAGAAUAAAUGAGGGAAAAGCAGAAGUGAAAGUCCACUGGUUACCUUGCACUGUGUGGUAAGUCGUGUU